rnacentral:rRNA from 1 species
AACGAACGCUGGCGGCAUGCCUAACACAUGCAAGUCGAACGAGACCUUCGGGUCUAGUGGCGCACGGGUGCGUAACGCGUGGGAAUCUGCCCUUGGGUUCGGAAUAACAGUUAGAAAUGACUGCUAAUACCGGAUAAUGUCUUCGGACCAAAGAUUUAUCGCCCAGGGAUGAGCCCGCGUAGGAUUAGCUAGUUGGUGAGGUAAAGGCUCACCAAGGCGACGAUCCUUAGCUGGUCUGAGAGGAUGAUCAGCCACACUGGGACUGAGACACGGCCCAGACUCCUACGGGAGGCAGCAGUGGGGAAUAUUGGGACAAUGGGCGAAAGCCUGAUCCAGCAAUGCCGCGUGAGUGAUGAAGGCCUUAGGGUUGUAAAGCUCUUUACCCGGGAUGAUAAUGACAGUACCGGGAGAAUAAGCCCCGGCUAACUCCGUGCCAGCAGCCGCGGU